GAUGAACGCUGGCGGCGUGCCUAAUACAUGCAAGUCGAGCGAACGGACGAGAAGCUUGCUUCUCUGAUGUUAGCGGCGGACGGGUGAGUAACACGUGGAUAACCUACCUAUAAGACUGGGAUAACUUCGGGAAACCGGAGCUAAUACCGGAUAAUAUUUUGAACCGCAUGGUUCAAAAGUGAAAGACGGUCUUGCUGUCACUUAUAGAUGGAUCCGCGCUGCAUUAGCUAGUUGGUAAGGUAACGGCUUACCAAGGCAACGAUGCAUAGCCGACCUGAGAGGGUGAUCGGCCACACUGGAACUGAGACACGGUCCAGACUCCUACGGGAGGCAGCAGCAGGGAAUCUUCCGCAAUGGCCGAAAGCCUGACGGAGCAACGCCGCGUGAGUGAUGAAGGUCUUCGGAUCGUAAAACUCUGUUAUUAGGGAAGAACAUAUGUGUAAGUAACUGUGCACAUCUUGACGGUACCUAAUCAGAAAGCCACGGCUAACUACGUG
rnacentral:rRNA from 1 species